rnacentral:rRNA from 1 species
GACAGAGGCCUCAAGCGUUAGGCGGAAUCACUGGGCUUAAAGCGUGUGUAGGCGGAUGGCUAAGUGCCUUGUGAAAUCCCACGGCUCAACCGUGGAACUGCUGGGCAUACUGGUCAUCUUGAGCCAUCUAGGGGCGACUGGAACAGACGGUGGAGCGGUGAAAUGCGUAGAUAUCGUCUGGAACGCCAAAGGUGAAAACAGGUCGCUGAGGAUGUGCUGACGCUGAGACACGAAAGCCAGGGGAGCAAACGGGAUUAGAUACCCCGGUAGUCCUGGCCCUAAACGAUGUCCACUAGAUCGCAGCGUCACUGACGGCGUUGCGGUCGAAGCAAAAGUGCUAAGUGGACCGCCUGGGAAGUACGGUCGCAAGGCUAAA